rnacentral:rRNA from 1 species
CUGCAACUCGACUGCGUGAAGCUGGAAUCGCUAGUAAUCGCGCAUCAGCCAUGGCGCGGUGAAUACGUUCCCGGGCCUUGUACACACCGCCCGUCAAGCCAUGGAAGUCUGGGGACCUGAAGACGGUAACCGCAAGGAGCCGUUAAGGGUAAAACAGGUAACUAGGGCUAAGUCGUAACAAGGUAAC